rnacentral:rRNA from 1 species
GCCGGAUUAGUAGUUGGGUCGGUGACGACCAGCGAAUACCUGGUGUUGUAU